CCCCUCCAGCCCAGCUUGAGCUCCAGCUCCAGCGCCGGCGCUUCAGCUGCGACCGCGAGCCCUCUCAAGAAAGGCCUACCCUCUGAAGAGGUCCAAGCAACGGAAGUACUACUACGAAGCUGCCUUUCUGGCCAUCCUUGAGAAAAACAGACAGAUGGCCAAGGAGAGGGGCCUAAUAAGCCCCAGUGAUUUUGCCCAGCUGCAAAAAUACAUGGAAUACUCCACCAAAAAGGUCAGUGAUGUCCUAAAGCUCUUCGAGGAUGGCGAGAUGGCUAAAUAUGUCCAAGGAGAUGCCAUUGGGUACGAGGGAUUCCAGCAAUUCCUGAAAAUCUAUCUGGAAGUGGAUAAUGUCCCCAGACACCUAAGCCUGGCACUGUUUCAAUCCUUUGAGACUGGUCACUGCUUAAAUGAGACAAAUGUGACAAAAGAUGUGGUGUGUCUCAGUGAUGUUUCCUGCUACUUUUCCCUUCUGGAGGGUGGUCGGCCAGAAGACAAGUUAGAAUGUGAGUUGCCCUUCUGAAGUGAGGUGGCAGGGCAGUGA
rnacentral:sRNA from 1 species